UCUACGUUAAUUAUCAUAAUCUCAUAAUAAAAUUUACAUUAUUUUAACGAAAUAAAAAACUCCGAGCUAUCGUUUAAAAUUAAAAUCAAACAUCCUAUCUAAAACAUCCAAUCGCAAAUUAUUCAUACGAUUAAUUUAAUUCGAUAUAUCCCAAAAAAUAAAAUUGAUCGGCGAGAAUAGGUUUAGGGCGGAGAUCGAAAGUUUCGACGACAUAUUUUCUCGCGACAUUGUCAAGAGAAUUCGACGGUAUGUAUUGAUACACGUGUGCGCGCGCGCGCGGCAUUCUCGUCGGGUCGCGAGAAAUGUAACCGCGUCUCGUCCAUGUACGCAUAUACACACACAUAUGUAGAAGAACGCAGUAGAAAGAAACCAAGAGCAGAUAGGAUCACACAGAGCGUGGUGGGUCGUUAAAGCCGGCUCAGCGCGCGUUUUCUGGUUUGUAGUUGGAAUAUAAGAACUACUAUCGGCGGCCACGUUGCCGACGGUGGCUCCAUUAUCGGUGAAUUUCGGUACUCGUACGAAUACUCGAGUAAUCUGGCGGGUACUCCGACGCCGAUCGAUUUGCACAGUGUUCUUCUACCUCUCUUGCGACUAGGUGCCAUUUCGUAACGCCCGUAAAUACACGUCGAGUCUCUUUUUCGACGAUUGUCAAGCUCGAUUUCAUCAUCAUACCUUCCUAUUUUUUCUUUUUCCGUUUUUUUAUUUUCUUUUGAUAAAAAGACAAUUAAUCCUGGUCCGGCGAAUUCAAUCUCAAAGCGUCCCGUUUCUUUUUCGCUUCUCUUUUUUAGUUUUUUUAUCCUCGUGCGUGAUCUUCCAUGUUUACAACAUGCUUUCCUCGAACGUCACAACGAUGUGUUUUAAGUGUUUUCCAAGUGUAUACUUUUUUCUUUCCCUUUUUUUUGGUAACUCAUUAUACGAAGGAAAUUGAAUAAACUGAAGCGAAUAAAAUGGUCCCCCGAUUUGUGAAGGAGAGUAAGAGAGAUAGAGAAAGAGAGUGAGAGAGAGACAGAGAGAAAAGAGGGAAGAAAAUGGACAGAGGAGCAAAGGAACGAAAAGCAACGAACGAACGAGAGACGGACGGAUACACGAUGAAAAGAGAGGGACGAAGAAAGAUACCGGCUGGCAAGCAGAUGGUAGCCUCGUUUAUUGGUUUACUCGUCGGCUCGCUGCCCCUCCGGCCAUGAAACGAGACUUUAGAACGAGUGUCGUUUCUCUUUGUAGCAGAGAGAGUGACCCGGCGACCUUCGAUUCGACGGAAAUCGAUGAAUGACGAGAAUGGAUUCAAUGACUCGAUCAAGCAGGAUACCAUCGAUGUAGAACGCGUCUUCUUACCUACCAUACAUUCAUCGAACGUUCAUUCAAGAAGUACGGGGACGAAGAGAAGACGAAGAGAGCGAUAGUGGUGGAUAUAGUAGCUGACAUUAAGAGAGUAUCUGUGUGCGUGUAUGUGUGUGAAAGAGAGUUGGAGAGAGAGAAAGAGGGAGAGAAGUAUACGUACAGAUAUACAGACGCAGCCAUCAAAUAAUGGCGUCGUGGGGGCGGAUAGCCGUUGCCGGGUCGAUAGGAGGAAGGCCCUUGACCUGCAAAACUCCGACUGCCGUCCCACCGUCGGCGUCGUUUUAACGAGGACCCUCGCUCAUUGGCUCCUCUAGACUUCUCCCUAGGGAAGGAAUCGUGAUUCACCUGCUUUUUCGAGAUCGUAAUAUUGACCGCCUUGCUGUUUAGACCAAGACUUAGUCUAGGUCUCAGGGAGCUUAAUUUGCGUUAAUCCCAAUGAGUAUUCGAGGGUGGUUUAAAAGGGAUUAACUUGGCUUGAAAAGGUGAACGAACGGAAGACAAGAUAUGACCAAGUGACCUGGAAGUGCAAGGUGCGUUACGGCACGGUAUAUAAAACGAGCCGUUCAAGAAAGAGAAAAGGAAAGAACAUGAUGGAGAAGCCGACCUUGCUACGAUCAGCUGUGUCAUCCUUGGGCCGUUAACGCUCAGGUGGUUUCGAUCUCAGGGCCGAGCAUCAAUCAUCAUUGGUAGUGCAAGGCGUGAUGUGAUUAUUGUCACUAAGAUACUCCGCUACGAUAUAACAAUCACGAAAGUGUGCCAAGUGACAUAACAGGGUUUAUCUUUAACGGUGAAUCUUAAGCAUCAAAUAAAACAGGCCUAAUAUUUUAACCUCCCAUUAUAUUCUAUUCAUUGAGAUAGGUCGGUACAGUCGAUGAGUUUCUUUUGCUCGUAGAUAAUUUAUUUUCUAAAAAUAACAAGUACUUGUCAUCUCUUAA